AUUGAACGCUGGCGGCAGGCUUAACACACGCAAGUCGAGCGGGGUGAUGGUGCUUGCACUAUCACUUAGCGGCGGACGGGUGAGUAAUGCUUAGGAAUCUGCCUAUUAGUGGGGGACAACAUCUCGAAAGGGAUGCUAAUACCGUAUACGUCCUACGGGAGAAAGCAGGGGAUCACUUGUGACCUUGCGCUAAUAGAUGAGCCUAAGUCGGAUUAGCUAGUUGGUGGGGUAAAGGCCUACCAAGGCGACGAUCUGUAGCGGGUCUGAGAGGAUGAUCCGCCACACUGGGACUGAGACACGGCCCAGACUCCUACGGGAGGCAGCAGUGGGGAAUAUUGGACAAUGGGGGGAACCCUGAUCCAGCCAUGCCGCGUGUGUGAAGAAGGCCUUAUGGUUGUAAAGCACUUUAAGCGAGGAGGAGGCUCUUUUGGUUAAUACCCAAGAUGAGUGGACGUUACUCGCGGAAUAAGCACCGGCUAACUCUGUGCCAGCCGCCGCGGUAA
rnacentral:rRNA from 1 species